UUUUCAUGAUGAAAAACUUUACUUUUCAGUUCUGCUUCUGAACCAAAUACACAGGAAGAUAACCAAUAUACCAAAGCUCAAAAAUCUGAAUU
rnacentral:snoRNA from 11 species